rnacentral:tRNA from 2 species
GCCACCCUAGCUCAAUCGGCAGAGCAGACGCUUCGUAAGCGCCAGGUUUUGGGUUCAAUUCCCAAGGGUGGCUC